rnacentral:tRNA from 1 species
GCGACACUAGCUCAGUUGGUAGAGCGCAACCAUGCCAGGUUGAGGUCACGAGUUCGAACCUCGUGUGUCGCUCCA